GGGUGUGUGGUGUAGCGGUAUCACGUCUGCUUCGCAUGCAGAAGGCCCCGGGUUCAAUUCCCGGCACAUCCA
rfam:Perkinsus marinus ATCC 50983 gcontig_1104296589266, whole genome shotgun sequence.